rnacentral:lncRNA from 1 species
UUGGGGAGCCCUGAAUUUUGGGGGGAUUUUUGGGUGGAUUUUUAGGGGUUUUUGGGGUAUUUCUGGCUGGUUCCUGAGUGGGUUUUUUUGCUAUUUUUGGGAUAUUUCUGGGUGGAUUUUUUGCUAUUUUUGGGGUAUUUCUGGAUGGAUUUUUUGCUAUUUUUGGGAUAUUUCUGGCUGGAUUUUUUGCUAUUUUUGGGAUAUUUCUGGAUGGAUUUUUUGGGAUUUUUGGGAUAUUUCUGGGUGGAUUUUUUUGCUAUUUCUGGGCUAUUUCUGGGAUAUUUCUGGGUGGAUUUUUUGCUAUGUUUGGGGUAUUUCUGGGUGGAUUUUUUGGGUUUUUCUGGGUGGAUUUUUGCUAUUUUUGGGAUAUUUCUGGGUGGAUUUUUUUGCUAUUUUUGGGAUAUUUCUGGGUGGAUUUUUUUGCUAUUUCUGGGAUAUUGCUGGGCUAUUUCUGGGUGGAUUUUUUUGCUAUUUCUGGGAUAUUUCUGGGUGGAUUUUUUUGCUAUUUCUGG